AGUGAUCGCUGGCGGUAGGCCUAACACAUGCUAGUCGAACGGCAGCACAGUAAGAGCUUGCUCUUACGGGUGGCGAGUGGCGGACGGGUGAGGAAUACAUCGGAAUCUACUUUUUCGUGGGGGAUAACGUAGGGAAACUUACGCUAAUACCGCAUACGACCUACGGGUGAAAGCAGGGGAUCUUCGGACCUUGCGCGAUUGAAUGAGCCGAUGUCGGAUUAGCUAGUUGGCGGGGUAAAGGCCCACCAAGGCGACGAUCCGUAGCUGGUCUGAGAGGAUGAUCAGCCACACUGGAACUGAGACACGGUCCAGACUCCUACGGGAGGCAGCAGUGGGGAAUAUUGGACAAUGGGCGCAAGCCUGAUCCAGCCAUACCGCGUGGGUGAAGAAGGCCUUCGGGUUGUAAAGCCCUUUUGUUGGGAAAGAAAAGCAGCAGGUUAAUACCCCGCUGUUCUGACGGUACCCAAAGAAUAAGCACCGGCUAACUUCGUG
rnacentral:rRNA from 1 species